GACGAACGCUGGCGGCGUGCCUAAUACAUGCAAGUCGAACGAGAGCGACCGGUGCUUGCACUGGUCAAUCUAGUGGCGAACGGGUGAGUAACACGUGGGUAACCUGCCCAUCAGAGGGGGAUAACAUCCGGAAACGGAUGCUAAAACCGCAUAGGUCUUCGAACCGCAUGGUUUGAAGAGGAAAAGAGGCGCAAGCUUCUGCUGAUGGAGGGACCCGCGGUGCAUUAGCUAGUUGGUGAGGUAACGGCUCACCAAGGCCGGGAUGCAUAGCCGACCUGAGAGGGUGAUCGGCCACAUUGGGACUGAGACACGGCCCAAACUCCUACGGGAGGCAGCAGUAGGGAAUCUUCCGCAAUGGACGCAAGUCUGACGGAGCAACGCCGCGUGAGUGAAGAAGGUUUUCGGAUCGUAAAACUCUGUUGUUAGAGAAGAACAAGUGCUAGAGUAACUGUUAGCGCCUUGACGGUAUCUAACCAGAAAGCCACGGCUAACUACGUG
rnacentral:rRNA from 1 species